rnacentral:rRNA from 1 species
UGGGGAAUUUUGGACAAUGGGCGAAAGCCUGAUCCAGCAAUGCCGCGUGUGUGAAGAAGGCCUUCGGGUUGUAAAGCACUUUUGUCCGGAAAGAAAUCCUUGGCUCUAAUACAGUCGGGGGAUGACGGUACCGGAAGAAUAAGCACCGGCUAACUACGUGCCAGCAGCCGCGGUAAUACGUAGGGUGCAAGCGUUAAUCGGAAUUACUGGGCGUAAAGCGUGCGCAGGCGGUUUGCUAAGACCGAUGUGAAAUCCCCGGGCUCAACCUGGGAACUGCAUUGGUGACUGGCAGGCUAGAGUAUGGCAGAGGGGGGUAGAAUUCCACGUNUAGCAGUGAAAUGCGUAGAGAUGUGGAGGAAUACCGAUGGCGAAGGCAGCCCCCUGGGCAAUACUGACGCUCAUGCACGAAAGCGUGGGGAGCAAACAGGAUUAGAUACCCUGGCAGUCCACGCCCUAAACGAUGUCACUAGUUGUUGGGGAUCAUUCCUUAGUAACGUAGCUAACGCGUGAAGUUGACCGCCUGGGGAGUACGGUCGCAAGAUU